UGGUGGAGCGAUUUGUCUGGUUAAUUCCGAUAACGAACGAGACUCUAGCCUGCUAAAUAGUUCGCCGGUAUCGUAUAGCCGACGCAACUUCUUAGAGGGACGAGUGGCGUUCAGCCACGCGAGAUUGAGCAAUAACA
rnacentral:rRNA from 1 species